GUGGGGAAUCUUGCGCAAUGGGCGAAAGCCUGACGCAGCCAUGCCGCGUGAAUGAUGAAGGUCUUAGGAUUGUAAAAUUCUUUCACCGGGGACGAUAAUGACGGUACCCGGAGAAGAAGCUCCGGCUAACUUCGUGCCAGCAGCCGCGGUAAUACGAAGGGGGCUAGCGUUGCUCGGAAUUACUGGGCGUAAAGGGCGCGUAGGCGGACAGCUUAGUCAGAGGUGAAAGCCCAGGGCUCAACCUUGGAAUUGCCUUUGAUACUGGCUGUCUUGAGUUUGGGAGAGGUGAGUGGAACUCCUAGUGUAGAGGUGAAAUUCGUAGAUAUUCGGAAGAACACCAGUGGCGAAGACGACUCACUGGCCCAAUACUGACGCUGAGGCGCGAAAGCGUGGGGAGCAAACAGGAUUAGAAACCCGGGUAGUCC
rnacentral:rRNA from 1 species